AUUUGUCUCCGCCUUACAGUUUUCAGUGUUACUAAACAACAAGCCGUAAAUUAUAACAGUCAGUUGUAUUUGGGCCUAAUAGUUAUAUACGCCGAAAGCUUUACCGCACCUCGUAGGAUCAGCUUGUGCGUCUUACUUAACACAAACAGGCACAACGAUCCCGUUUGUUAGAGUGAGAGCCAGAACAGUGCGAUGGCGUUGGUGACAAGAAUGGUAAGAUGGACUGACUUAUUUUCUUAAAUCUGUGUAUUCUAUCCCGAGUUGCUAUAAGAAAACCAGGCAUUGUGUUUCAACUUGAAUUGCGCGUUGUCUAUUUUCAUGGGUGUAAUGGGUGUAGACCUAAAAAUUUACCAGUAUGUUUUUGUGUUGCACUUUUCCAAGAGGCUGAAAUCCUGAAGUCAGUUGAUGUUACUAUCAUCUCCGGGCUCCCUUGAUCUUUGUAACCAAUCACAGUCUUCAUUGUAUGACAUCACCACAGUGGUCAAUGUUUUUCUUAUUUUCAAACUAAAGGCUUUCACCCAUUGAGGAGGUGGCAGGUAUGGCUAAGUGCUCUAAUCCUCUGACCUGUGAUUUCAAGGUCACAAGUUUGGGCCUUAUUAUUAUUAUUAUUAUUAUUAUUAUUUAUUUUUUUUAAUUUAUUAAAUAGAUGAACAUGUUCUUAUAUUUUGUAUUUAUGACAUGUCCCUUAACAAAAACCUUACACAAUAAAACGAGUACUUUGCAAAUCUUUGCACCUUGCUGCUUAACAGAAAACACUGGUUUUAAAUAAUGUGGUGAUGUCAUACAAUGAAGACUAUGAUUGGUUAAAGAAGUGCAGCACAAGCCCCUCCCAUGUUGACCCAGGGAUGCAAUGAACUCAGGAAAAGCAGAACGUGCUUGUUUGUUUUUUAUUUAUUUUUACGAAACUGCACGGAGCAGUUCAUCCUUGUUCCAUCCAAUCGCAUUCAUUUAUUCCUGUACUUCGCCCCAGUAUCCUGAAACUGAGAAAACACAGAUAACAGUUUUACAGUUAUUUCAGUUGUAAAACAUUUGUUUGUGUUAUUUAUUUUAAUAGGAAGUGUUCAGCAUCAACAUCCUAACUUUCAUUGAAUGAUAUAUAACAGCCUGUUUUUCUGUGUGGUUUCUCUAUGGUAGAAGGAGCUGCCCAUUCAAAUCUGGUCAUCAGAGCCCAUGUCAACUUGCACAAACACCUCCAGGCCAGUCUGUUCUGGGGGCACCUCAACUCGCUCCCCCACCGCUGGCCAGUUCUCUCCAUCUGCUCUUAAGUUGUGGUCCCGUGUCUAUGCGGGAUGCUCUUGUGUUUUUGCAUUUGUUUCAUACAAAUUUAUUCCCCAUACUGCUGUCAAUUUGAAGAGCCUUCCUGUUAGGCUCUUGCAGUGUUUUGCCAGUGUAUUGCAUAUUUUAAUGUGUAUCGCUUUAUGUUAUUAAAAAAAUCAGCUGAAA